UACGUAGGGGGCAAGCGUUGUCCGGAAUCAUUGGGCGUAAAGAGCGCGUAGGCGGCCCAGUAAGUCCGCUCUGAAAGUCAGGGGCUCAACCCCUGAAUCGCCGGGUGGAUACUAGUCGGGCUAGAGUGCGGAAGAGGCGAAGUGGAAUUCCUGGUGUAGCGGUGAAAUGCGCAGAUAUCAAGGAGGAACACCUAUUGCGAAGGCAGCUCGCUGGGACGAACUGACGCUGGAGAACGCGAAAGCGUGGGGAGCAAACAGGAUAGAA
rnacentral:rRNA from 1 species